UCUCCGUAGGUGAACCUGCGGAGGGAUCAUUCACAUGAAUCCUUGAAUCAACCAAUCUGUGAACUUGUUUGGUGGCUCGAGUCAUAUGUGUGUGAUAUAUACAUUGACUUGUUCAAUUAUAUUAUUCACACAAGAUUCGUCAUCAAUCCUUGCUUUCUGAUUGUUGUUUCUCGAAAGAGAGGCAGCAGUCAGAAUGCUUGGAACCCCACGCACGACCUUCACACUGGUUUGUGUGUGUGUCAAAACUCACACAGACACAAGUGUCGAACAUUCGAUGAACAAAUAGAUAGCUGGACGUAAAAGUAUCAGCUGACCUGUCGAUCCGUCAAACGAUCGAUUGAGUCAUUCAAAACAUAGAAACAACUCUAUGCCCUGGAUAUCUUGGUUCUC
rnacentral:misc_RNA from 1 species